rnacentral:rRNA from 1 species
GCAGUGAGGUUCCACCUCUUCCCAUUCCGAACAGAGAAGUUAAGCUCACUAACGCCGAUGGUACUGCGGUUUUCCCGUGGGAGAGUAGGU